GAUGAACGCUAGCGAUAGGCUUAACACAUGCAAGUCGAGGGGCAGCACAAGGUAGCUUGCUAUCUGGGUGGCGACCGGCGCACGGGUGCGUAACGCGUAUGCAACUUGCCCUAUACAGGAGGAUAACCCGUCGAAAGACGGACUAAUACUGCGUAUGCUCACAACUUGGCAUCAAGUGGUGAGGAAAGAAAUUCGGUAUAGGAUAGGCAUGCGUCCCAUUAGCUUGUUGGUGAGGUAACGGCUCACCAAGGCAACGCUGGGGAGGGGAACUGAGAGGUUUAUCCCCCACACUGGGACUGGGGCACGGACCAGACUGCUACGGGAGGGAGGAGUGAGGAAUAAUGGGCAAUGGGCGCGAACCUGAACCAGCCAAGGCGCGGGAAGGAUGACUGUCUUAUGGAUUGUAAACUUCUUUUAUACGGGAAUAACAAGAGUCACGUGUGACUCCCUGCAUGUACCGUAUGAAUAAGCAUCGGCUAACUCCGUG
rnacentral:rRNA from 1 species